rnacentral:rRNA from 1 species
UUGAACGCUGGCGGCAGGCCUAACACAUGCAAGUCGCGCGGAUGAAGGGAGCUUGCUCCUGGAUUCAGCGGCGGACGGGUGAGUAAUGCCUAGGAAUCUGCCUGGUAGUGGGGGAUAACGUCCGGAAACGGGCGCUAAUACCGCAUACGUCCUGAGGGAGAAAGUGGGGGAUCUUCGGACCUCACGCUAUCAGAUGAGCCUAGGUCGGAUUAGCUAGUUGGUGGGGUAAAGGCCUACCAAGGCGACGAUCCGUAACUGGUCUGAGAGGAUGAUCAGUCACACUGGAACUGAGACACGGUCCAGACUCCUACGGGAGGCAGCAGUGGGGAAUAUUGGACAAUGGGCGAAAGCCUGAUCCAGCCAUGCCGCGUGUGUGAAGAAGGUCUUCGGAUUGUAAAGCACUUUAAGUUGGGAGGAAGGGCAGUAAGUUAAUACCUUGCUGUUUUGACGUUACCAACAGAAUAAGCACCGGCUAACUUCGUG